rnacentral:rRNA from 1 species
GACGAACCGUGCAAACGUUGUUCGGAAUCACUGGGCUUAAAGGGCGCGUAGGCGGGUCAGCAAGUCCGGGGUGAAAUCUUUCGGCUCAACCGGAAAAGUGCCUUGGAUACUGCUGGUCUGGAGGGAGGUAGGGGCAGCUGGAACUUCCGGUGGAGCGGUGAAAUGUGUUGAUAUCGGAAGGAGCACCGGUGGCGAAAGCGGCGCGCUGGAUCCCCACUGACGCUGAGGCACGAAAGCCAGGGGAGCAAACGGG